AAAAAGUUAAGCUAAAUCUAAGCUAAUGGGUUCAUACCUCAUCUAUAGGAGGAUUCCUCCUUUUUA
rnacentral:tRNA from 1 species